GGCGGACGGGUGAGUAACACGUGGGCAACCUACCUUGUAGAUUGGGAUAACUCCGGGAAACCGGGGCUAAUACCAAAUAAUCCAUUUUGCUUCAUGGCGAAAUGUUAAAAGGCGGCUUCGGCUGUCACUACGAGAUGGGCCCGCGGCGCAUUAGCUAGUUGGUAGGGUAACGGCCUACCAAGGCGACGAUGCGUAGCCGACCUGAGAGGGUGAUCGGCCACACUGGGACUGAGACACGGCCCAGACUCCUACGGGAGGCAGCAGUAGGGAAUCUUCCACAAUGGACGAAAGUCUGAUGGAGCAACGCCGCGUGAGUGAAGAAGGUUUUCGGAUCGUAAAACUCUGUUGUAAGGGAAGAACACGUACGAGAGUAACUGCUCGUACCUUGACGGUACCUUAUUAGAAAGCCACGGCUAACUACGUGCCAGCAGCCGCGGUAAUACGUAGGUGGCAAGCGUUGUCCGGAAUUAUUGGGCGUAAAGCGCGCGCAGGCGGUCCUUUAAGUCUG
rnacentral:rRNA from 1 species